GAUGAACGCUGGCGGCGUGCUUAACACAUGCAAGUCGAACGAAGCAUUUAAGACAGAUUACUUCGGUUUGAAGUCUUUUAUGACUGAGUGGCGGACGGGUGAGUAACGCGUGGGUAACCUGCCUCAUACAGGGGGAUAGCAGCUGGAAACGGCUGGUAAUACCGCAUAAGCGCACAGUACCACAUGGUACAGUGUGAAAAACUCCGGUGGUAUGGGAUGGACCCGCGUCUGAUUAGCUUGUUGGCGGGGUAACGGCCCACCAAGGCGACGAUCAGUAGCCGACCUGAGAGGGUGACCGGCCACAUUGGGACUGAGACACGGCCCAGACUCCUACGGGAGGCAGCAGUGGGGAAUAUUGCACAAUGGAGGAAGCUCUGAUGCAGCGACGCCGCGAGAGUGAAGAAGUAGUUCGCUAUGUAAAGCUCUAUCAGCAGGGAAGAUAGUGACGUUACCUGACUAAGAAGCUCCGGCUAAAUACGUG
rnacentral:rRNA from 1 species